CCACUGGAGAGCACAGAGAUUUUUGGUGUGCUGGACACAUGCCUGCUGCAGGACCUUUGCACGGCCUUCUUUGUCCCUUCUGCUUGGAUGCUAUUCUCCCAGACACCAUCAUGGCUCAGCCACCACCUCAAGGUGCCGCCACACCUUUGUCAAAGGGCUAAAUCAGAGGACAGCGGGGCCUCGCAGUAUGAGUGACACCCAUGCCACAUCCCACAGCCAAGCGGCCAUCCCCAGACCGAUCUCAGCGCUUCUGCAGCUGGGACACAGACCACCCAUUCCUCCAGCUCCCAUCCAGCUCUGCCCCACCGUUCCUACCAUGGACCAGGCCUCCGAGGCCACUGUGAGUGAAGGACAGAGAAAGUCACAGGCUGGAGCUGAUGCCACUGGUCUUGCCCCUGUCUAACCCCCCACGUCUCCACCAGGCAGCCUGGCUCUGUCCCGACUUUCCUGAUGGCGUGGGUCUCUCAGGUGGGUUGGGUAGCCAGGGAGUCUUCACCACUCCUGCCAUCCAGAGGUGUCCGUCUGGCUGGGCCUUGUGACCUGUGUGGACCAGAAUGCAGUGGAAGUGACACUACUCGGGGUCCAGGCUCAGCCCUUAAGAGAUGGUUGCUUCCCUCUGUCUUCCCCAAGCCGCUGCCAUGCAGUAAGGAAGCCCAGGCCGUUCUGCUGCCCAGACACUCCCAGGGUCCUCUGGGGGAACAAAGGAGGGCAAAGGAGGACAAGGACUCAGACCUGUCAGCAGGAACACUUGAGACCUCUACGGGAUACCAAUUCCCAGAUGAGACUUGCAGAGAAGCAGACCUGUGACAAGUUAAGAUGUCAUUAUCUUAAGGGCGCUGUGUCCAGGAGUGGUUAGUUUUGGAGGUGUCUUGGGUGUGACUUCAGCAUGGUUGAACGUCCUCCACUCAGCUGGAAGUGGUUCUUGGGGGUGCAGAGAGGCAUACAUUUCAGCCCCUGUGGGGGAAGGACCUGGCCUGUCUAGAAUCCUGACCAUCCAGGGGGCAAUGCUCACCCCCUCUGCUCCUCUCAGUCCUCCAAACUCUUCAUUCUCCAUAGCCUGGCAGAUGUCACAGUCAGCAGAUUUUGGGGUGGCUGGUAUCCCCACCAUGGUCAGCUGGCUAGAGAGGCUGCUGGUGACUCCUCUGUUCCACAUGCUGCCAUGACAACCAACAGCAGCCAGGCUGGUAGUGGGAGCCGUAGCUGGGGCGGGGUUGUUGUGUCCUGCGCAGAAUGGUUUGGUGCUCAGUCCAUCUGUCCCCCCUCGCAGAGGGUGAUGGCCUCCCUACAGCUGUGGGAUCUGUGUCAUAGACUGGGCUAUCUGAAGGGUGGGGAGGCCAGGCAGAGCGGCCUGGGCCUACUCUCGGACACAUGUCCACCCCUGCUGUAAUGAUUGAUUUUAAUUCUCAACUUGGG
rnacentral:lncRNA from 1 species